UUUGAUUAUUAAAUGUCUUGAGGUAGUCUUAUUUGGGUUAAAUCUGCUUGUACUUAAGUACAAACUUCCUGUACUUAAAUAGUGAUAACUAUUUCUAGGCUUGAGAUGUUCUCUGCAAUUAUCCUUUUGAAUAAACUUUCUACCCUGAUCUCUCUCUCUCUCUUCUUUAAGGCCAGUAACUAUUAGAUUUGCCUUGUUGAGGUUUUUGUAGAUCUAGUAGGCAUGCCUUAUUCCUUUUUAUUCUUUGUCAUUUUGUCUCCUCUGACUGUGCAUUUUUAAAUAGUCAAUUUGAUUUUCCUUGGGAGGUGUGCUGGUCACUGACAUGCUCUAUUUGAAUAUCUUGUUUCCACACUAAAGAAUCUUUUUUUGUGUGUAUGCAAUCAUCCAAUUAGGAGUUGAGAAAAUGGGAAACUCAAUAGAUUUUUAUUGAACAAGGAAAGCAUCUCAUUACAUCCUAUUCAUCAUUAUUAUCAAUGUUUCUAAAUUAUUUGCAUAAUAUAAAAUAAUUAAAAAGUGGUAUUUCUGUGAGGCAGAAUUUUGGCUUUUAUUUGUCAAUAUCUGGCUGAGUGGUCAUAUACAAGUGACUCAGUUACCUUACCAUGCAACUAAAUACCCAUAGCUAUAAAAUGAAAGAACUGACAGUUCUCAAAUGGCCUUUUCAUGAUACUAUCAGUUGAAAUAAAUCCAAAUAUCACAUACAUGUUGCUUGCUUUGUAUGAACUACUCUUGGAGAUGUGGGGGAAAAUGUGACUUCAUGAGCCCUGCGAUGCUCCAGAAAUGGAGUUUAAGAAGUGAGAUGGAGACAAGAGCUUUAGUUGGUAGGAGCAGGAGACACAGUGAGAAGGUAAUCUAAGGCCUGAUUGUGGAAAGCAUUGAAUUCAAUUUUUUAAUUUUCUGUAAGCCAUGGGGAACCAUGCCACUUUUGAGCAGGUACAUUUCAUGAUUCAAACAUAGGUUGUGUGGAUGGGGAGAAACUGGAGAUAGCAGCAUAGGCCUGGAGGUUCAGGGACAGUCUAGGUACAAAGGGAGGAGCUCUUAUUUUAAGAGGAGACAGGGGUUCUGCAGAUUCAGGAGAUAUUUCAAUUGAGGCAUAAGUAGCAUUCAAUAAUAAUUAUAGCUUAAUUAGUGAAAUACACUCAGAACUCCUAAGAACAAGAAUAGAGAUGUAUGUGCAGAGAAAUAUUUCCUUGUUAAAACUUUGGAAACGCUGUUUGAAUCUAUCAUUUGGAAAUUCAGAAGGUUAUUGGAGGGAAUAAGCAUUGCGUUAUUUAUUUGGCUCUAUUAAUAUAUAUAGUGGGAGUUUUGUAAACAUGAAUUUAAAUAAUAAAAUAUGUUUGAUAGUGAAAAAUCUAUGUCAGGGUCGUUACUUUUCAUUGUCUUUGGUAAAAUAGUAUUGUUAUCGAUAAGGUAAUUUAACUGGUUCUUUCAUUUUUGAGUGCCUAACUUGUACCCAGUUGAAAAUUAAGAACCUGAUGCAAAUUAGAUGUCAGAAAAGCAAUAGCUUUUUAAUGUAUUCUCAAAUCAUAUGCUACAGUAACAAUGAUAAAGAACCUUACAUAGUAAGGCACUUAUUAGAUAGUGAAUUAAGAUUCAUUUUUAAAAUAAUAUUACCAUUAUAAAUUAUCCUCCUAUUUUAAAUUCUGGGCAUUCUACCAUAAUAAUUAGUAUGAAUUCAUGAUACAUUAAUAACCUCCUGCUUAAAACUUGGAUAUAUUUUAAGCCAAAUGUUAUUAUUAAUAUAUUACUUAAGUGUAUUCUUUUGUGCUGACAUUCUUAACUAGCUAGAUAUGAAAUAUGGUAAAAUACAGCCAAGAGCUAUGUCUACUAUUCAAGAGAUACAUCACAAAAGUGAAUGGAAUAUGUUGAAAACAGAACUGUCUGAUUAUGCUUUUAUUAGAAUAUAUAUCCACAAGUAAUGAUUUUUUUAAUGAUUAAUGGUUUAUUCAUUAUGUUAUUUGAUAACCUGGUAAAUUUUUAGUCAAAUAAAAAUGACCCUUAUAUUUUAUAUACAUAUUAACUGUCCAUGUUUAGACAAUUAUAUGUUAAUAAAUAUUUAUAUAUAAUAUAAAUUAACAUAUAUAUUUGGACAAUUGUCUGUGUUUGGACAGUUGUAUAUUAACUGCCCAUGUUUUUGGUUGAAUCUGCAGAUGCGGAAUCGAGGGAUACUAAGGAUCGACUCUAUUGUUAAAAGACUCAUUUAUACAAAUUUAAAUGUGUGCUAUAGCAAAUGCCUUAAUUUUAAGGCUACCAUGUGUAUGUAUACAUGAGGUGCAUCCUAUUUUUUGCUCUUUUUUUUGUAUUUAAAAAUAAACCAUGUUACCUUCUGUUAUUUUCCUUAUGCUUCUGGAAUCAAUUUUCAUAAUUGUAGGGAUACCAAUGUACCAGAAAUGUCUUGGAGUAUUUUAAGCUUUGAGUGUACAGUGGACAUUCAAUCAACAACAAUGCCCACUGUAUACUCAAAGACCCUGUAGGCAUUGUUGUUGAUUGAAAUAAGUUACUGGGAUUGGAAAAGCCAAGUGUAUUGGGCUCCACUUGACUUGAGCUCCUAGGAAUGUAGCACAGCAGAUUGUAUAUGAAUGAUUUGCCUUGAGCCUCAAGUUGAUACUAUAAACAUUACAGUGACAUAUAAUGCAGGAAGAAAGCAGUAUAUCCAUACUAGUUACUUCUAAAAGUCCAGCUUCCUUUCUCCUUGAUGUGAAAUCUAUCCAGGCUUUAUAGAUGUUGAUGCAUCUGGAGGCUAAGCUGAAAGACAUUAAUUGUUCCAAUAAUAAUAGUAUUUGGAACAAAGAACUGUGUUUACGUUUUUGAAAUUUUUUAAUGGAAGCAUUUUCAUGUUGAAGAGGGAGUGACAUUAUAUAUCUGAUAUUUAUGAUAAAGAUUAGCAUUCAAUUUUCUUUUUAGGUUUUAUAUACAGUCAUCUCUCAGUAUCUGUGGGGGAUUUGUUCCAGGAGCUUAUAUGAAUGCUAAAAUCCAGGGAUGCUCAUGUCCCUGAUAAAAAAUGGCCUAGUAUUUUCAUAUAACCUAUGCAUAUUCUUCAAUAUACUUUAAAUCAUCUCUAGAUUGCUUAUAAAACCUAACACAAUGUACACACUGUGCAAAUUGUUGUUAUACUGUAUUGUUUUUUACUUUUAUUAAUUUUUAUUGUUUUUAAGGUAUUUUCUGUUCAUGUUUGAAUCUGCAGAUGCAGAACCCAGGGAUAUUAAGAGCCAACUAUAUUGUUAAAGACUUAUAUAGAUUUAAUCUCAGCAGAUGCAGAGCCCAG